UACGAAGGGAGCUAGCGUUGUUCGGAAUUACUGGGCGUAAAGGGCGCGUAGGCGGUAUCAUAAGUCAGAUGUGAAAGCCCCGGGCUUAACCUGGGAUGUGCAUUUGAAACUGUGGAACUAGAGAUCGAGAGAGGAAAGUGGAAUUACGAGUGUAGAGGUGAAAUUCGUAGAUAUUCGUAAGAACACCAGUGGCGAAGGCGACUUUCUGGCUCGAUACUGACGCUAAGGCGCGAAAGCGUGGGGAGCAAACAGG
rnacentral:rRNA from 1 species